rnacentral:rRNA from 1 species
CCUACGGGAGGCUGCAGUGGGGAAUGUUGCGCAAUGUGCGAAAGAGUGACGCAGCGACGCCGCGUGAAUGACGAAGGCCUUCGGGUCGUAAAGUUCUUUCGACAGGGAAGAAAAUGCCUAUAAGUAACUGUGUAUGUAUUGACGGUACCUGUAUAAGCAGCCCCGGCUAACUCCGUGCCAGCAGCCGCGGUAAUACGGAGGGGGCGAGCGUUGUUCGGAGUGACUGGGCGUAAAGAGCACGUAGGCGGUGUUGUAAGUCAUUAGUCAAAGACUAGAGCUCAACUUUAGUAAGGCUAGUGAUACUAUAAUACGAGAGUAUCAGAGAGGAUUGCAGAAUUCCUGGUGUAGCGGUGAAAUGCGUAGAUAUCAGGAGGAAUACCGUGCGCGAAGGCGGCAAUCUGGCUGGAAACUGACGCUGAGGUGCGAAAGCGUGGGUAGCAAACAGGAUUAGAUACCCCGGUAGUC